rnacentral:lncRNA from 1 species
CUAUAUAACAUCGCCCACGCUGUCAGUGGUCAGUACCAAGUUAAGAUACGGCAACACAUAAAAAUGCUUGAGAAAAUCAUCGUCUUCCUACUGAUAGCUGUUGCUAUGGUGACAGCGUUCUAUCAACCGUACUACAACCCAUACGCAUACACUGGAUAUGGCUAUGGAUAUGGCUAUGGAAAUGACUGGGGCGAUCAGUAUUAUCCAUACUAUCAACAACAGUUCAACUAUUACAACCCCUUUUGGUAUUAUUCCGACUGAGACUGAUCAAGGGCCAGCUUCAACCCCGACUAUCAAUGCUGAACAAGAGUUCUCAGCAACGCUAUUACAGACUACGAGUAUUCAGCUCAAGCAUCGACCUACAGGUGUGGCUGAACUCCGAGGUGUGAUGUCAUUAUUCUGUCGCACUGAUUUUAAUAAAUAUUUCAUACUUUCUUAAAA